rnacentral:sRNA from 1 species
UUGAGCGGCUUGAUGCGAAUUGACAGCUGUUUGCCAGAUGCCCGAGGUUGGGGGAGCGUUCAGAGGCGACUGUCAGCCAGACUCACUGGCGGCACAACUUCAAAAACUACUGAUUUAAUUCGCCACGAAAGCGUUUGCAAUUAGCGAACGGUGACCACAGUUGGCGAUGUUCAGUAAACGCGGGAAAAUGGGCAAGGAACUGUGAAUUGUAUAAAGUAGUAAACUUCGCUAAUUCAUAAUUCAUAACUUCAGAUCGGUGACUUAAUUCGCGGUGCAAGGAGCGGCAAAACCCCAAAACUAUUGAUGUUCCCUAGUGCCAUCAGCAGCGGCAUAUGCAGAUAGGCAUACUUUAGAUCUGUCACUCUUCAUUAGCCCUAGCAUAGAUUGUCCUUAUUCCAAACAUGUGUAUCGAGUCGAGUUAUUGUAGCAAGCCGAGCCGUGUUAGCCGUCUUUUCAGUCCCCUCAACGUGAUCGCUGCCACAACUGUCAAGCAAUGCCGACGACGUACGGCUGUCGUCUCACAAUUAAUUGACAUUUUGACUGCCGAGGAUUGUCAUUCAAAGGCAAACUUCUUCGAGCGGAAUGCACCGAAGGAGCCCCUCGCCAAUUGACAGAGAUGCUGAGAUGCGGAGAUGCGGAGUCAUUCGCCGAACAGCAAAAGGCACACCAUUAACUACUGUCUUUGUCUGAACGGAAGGUCUGAGUGUUUGGUUUGAUAUGGAAGUUGCUCGAAACAUUCACAGAGGGGCUUAUAGUACGAUAUAUAAACUUAAUCCUCGCUGUAUUUACGGAAUGCACGGAAUGCCUUUAAGUCGCUGACUACUGCUGUUCCGAUCCGUUUCCAAGCUAGAUAAUCUGCCUCAGCGAUCUCAAAGGCCCAAAGGCACUUCAGCUGGCCCAGAUCUCUGGGGCUCUGCGAGGUUCUGCAGCUACGUUGGCAAUACAAUUGGCACAUGUUUGGCCAGUCCUGUCCCCGUCUGGAGCUACUUCGACGGUCUCUGGAGGGCAUCAGAGUUUGGGGAUCGGGAAUCGGGAAGCGAGAAUCGAGAAUCGAGAACCGAGAACCGGGAGACCUGACAGCCCGUGGCAUUGUUUGGGCUUUGGGGAAGAUUCGAAGAAACAGAAGAUGGCAUCUCCAAUGGGCGGCGAAGAGGGAGAGCGGUCGGGUCAAUUCACACGUGCGCAGGCGCGCAGUUCAAUUAACUUAAUUGCCAUGUAAUUACGAGGAGCAACAACAACAGCAACAGUGAGUAAUACCACGCCACAAACCACCACAUCGCAACGUCAUCUCCAACAUCCUGCUGCGCUGCGCAAAAGCGAAACUAAAGACUUAGGACACAAACCUGCUUUCGAGGCUUUUUGCGAUGGCACUUCUCUUAUACCCUCACAGAACUUUAUUACGGAUUUAAUUUGGGAAAUGUUAGCUUGUAUCAAUUUAAUAUCAACAAUUUAAUAUCAGUUUAAAGUCAACUAUUAACAUUUUUGCAACUAUCUGCCUUUUUUUAUUUAGGUGUGUGUUUUGCUAUAUUUAUGAGAUAGUGUGGAUACGAGAUCGUACUCACCACCUCAUCCACGACUUCCCCAGUGACUCCGACAUUCCAGUUGGAAUGGCCAGCCGGCUGCUCCUUCUUCUUUUGUUCCUCAACUCCAAAUCACUCCUCCCCCUGCUCCUCUCUUUCGCUUCCCAUUCGCCGAGUGGCUGGGAAGGCAUUUGAAAAACGUUGCCGCAUUUUUUGCAGCAGAAAAUAAGAAAA